GCCUUAUCAAGAGCGGCGGAGGGGAUAGGCCCUAUGAAGCCCGGCAACCGGUAAUUCUUACGCGGUGCUAAAUCCUACAGAACUUGUAUUCUGGAAGAUGAGGA
rnacentral:ncRNA from 2 species